ensembl:lincRNA
AGAGAUACAAGUGUAGACCCUGUUUUCAGCUAUUCAAUUUUUCUAUUUCCCAAACCCAUUUGACAUGUAACUCUUCAAAUCACCAGGUUCCUCAAAAAACAAACAACAACAACAAAAAAACCCAACAAAACAUGAAGAAGCCAAAUCUGGAGGAUGAGUUUUCCAAAUUAAACACUGAAUAUUGUUGUAGAGUAAAAUGAUACUGUUUGUAAAGAGAUGUUUUUACUAGACAUCCUCUUCCUAGCCACCUAUUAAGGAAUAACUAGAAUAUAUAUUAACAGGAAGACAUCGGAAAUUAUCUUUGCACCUGAGAAAAUGUUAAGAUUCAGAAUUUGGCUGGAUGCUACUAAAGAGCUACUGAAAUAGACUCAAUGGCAGCUACAAUGCCCAACAGAAGCAGCGAUGCCUGGUGCACAUAGCAGGUUGCUAGCAGGAGUCUCCUGGGGUGAUUCACCUGUCUUGUUGGUGAGGAUAUGGACAUCAUCUGGGGACUCUCAGAAAUCCCUGAAGUGAUAUAGAGUCCCACAUGAGCUUGCCUAUGGUGUUUUACAAACCAAUAAUGUAGUGUUCAUAAACCAAAGUCACUUGGAGCUUUCUUCUUUGUAUAUGCAAACAUAUUCUGGGAGUAUGGCACUUAACAAGAUGGCAGAAAAAAAUUCAGCCAGGAUUCAACACUUUCCCACACAUCAUCAACACUUGAUUCCCCUGACUCUGACCAAGAUUUCCAGAGAAAUCUGAAGCUCCCUGAAGCCCUUGGGUUCCUCAGUUCUAUUUACUCUGAGAGAAGGUAACCUCUCCAUCCCAAACCUCUGCAUCUGCAUUUACCCAGCAUUUCAAAAAUACUUUCUUCUUGGCCAAUUUAUAAUCACCUUCCUCUAAAUACUAAUUUCACAUAUGUUUUGCAUAGGACUUUAGAGAUUUCUAUUUGACUUUUAAAUCCAAUCCUCACUAUAACCCAGCAAAUAGGGAGAAUGUUGUCCACAUGGACAAGUGAGGACAAUAAGGUAGGGAAAGGUCAGAGGCCCUGUAAAGGAAAGAAUUAGGACUUUGCUUUCUAGCCAUCCUCCUGGUGCCUCCUACUCUCCUGUCCAGGCUCCCCCAACCCCCACAGUCCCACAAUAAAGCUGUGGUCACAGAUUGCAAGCUGCAGAAUGCUUUCCUUAUAUUCUG